UGUCCUUGACAUGCCGGGAAUUUUCCAGAAAUGGAGAAGUGCCUUCGGGAACCCGGACAC
rnacentral:rRNA from 1 species